rnacentral:lncRNA from 1 species
UUGUGGCCGACAAGUCACGUCUUUGGGUUGUUUCUUAUUGCCAUCAACCGACACGCCCCCUCUCUCUAUAUCUACUCCUUUCCUUGGCUGUCUUGGUGAGAACAGAAAUCAGGGAGACGACCCACAUGAGCGCACCAAUGCGGCAGUUUAUUCCUUCACCAACCAACCACGAUUGGCAUUCGGGGGUGUGUUUCUUGUACUAUGUUAUCCACAGGACAGCAGAACUUCACCCUGAUUACCUGCCACCAUAAAUG